UAAAGUGUCUGCCUGUGAGGAUG
rnacentral:piRNA from 1 species